rnacentral:rRNA from 1 species
CCCGCUGAACUUAAGCAUAUCAUUAAGCGGAGGAAAAGAAAUCAACGAAGAUUGCCUCAGUAGCGGCGAGCGAAGCGGCAAGAGUCCAAGUUUAAAAUCUGAGGUGUUCCACCUCCGAAUUGUAAUCUAAAGAGCGUAGCAAAAGGGGAUGUUGAAGCAUAAGUGCCAUGAAACUGGCUGUCAAAGAGGGUGAAAAUCCCGUGCUUGGCUUCGACUGAACCGAAUGCUUUGUUUCAAAGAGUCGGGUUGUUUGGGAUUGCAGCCCUAAAUGGGAGAUAAACUUCUUCUAAGACUAAAUAUUGAUGGGAAACCGAUAGCGAACAAGUACUGUGAAGGAAAGAUGAAAAGAACUUUGAAAAGAGGGUUAAAAAGACCUGAAAUCGUUGAGAAGGAAGCGGUACGAACGAAUCAAUUGUCAUCGAAGUAAGCGGAGUGAUGUAAGUUUGGUGUAGGUAACAGUUCGUCAAAGGCUGUCUGGCACCAAGUGAAGUCUUCUGUGAUUUCGGCGGCAAAAGGCAAGAUGGGUUCAGACCUACCGGAAUCAGUGAAUGAAACGUCGGGAGUUAUGCUCUCAGCUCAUUCUCUAAACGGUCUGCUGGACUGAGGGCACUUUUUAUGUGAUCUUGCCAAGAUGGUUCGUACUGACCCGUCUUGAAACACGG